rnacentral:rRNA from 1 species
CGCGGCCUAUCAGCUUGUUGGUGAGGUAAUGGCUCACCAAGGCAACGACGGGUAGCCGGCCUGAGAGGGCGACCGGCCACACUGGGACUGAGACACGGCCCAGACUCCUACGGGAGGCAGCAGUGGGGAAUAUUGGGCAAUGGAGGAAACUCUGACCCAGCGACGCCGCGUGCGGGAUGAAGGCCUUCGGGUUGUAAACCGCUUUCAGUAGGGAAGAAGCGAAAGUGACGGUACCUACAAAAGAAGCACCGGCUAACUAUGUGCCAGCAGCCGCGGUAAUACAUAGGGUGCAAGCGUUGUCCGGAAUUAUUGGGCGUAAAGAGCUCGUAGGUCGUUUGUUACGUCGGAUGUGAAAACCUGAGGCUCAACCUCAGGCCUGCAUUCGAUACGGGCAAACUAGAGUUUGGUAGGGGAGACUGGAAUUCCUGGUGUAGCGGUGGAAUGCGCAGAUAUCAGGAGGAACACCAAUGGCGAAGGCAGGUCUCUGGGCCAAUGCUGACACUGAGGAGCGAAAGUCUGGGGAGCGAACAGGAUUAGAUACCCUGGUAGUCCAGACCGUAAACGGUGGGCACUAGUUGUGGGAACCUUCCACGGUUUCUGCGACGCAGCUAACGCAUUAAGUGCCCCGCCUGGGGAGUACGG